UACGAAGGGAGCUAGCGUUGUUCGGAAUCACUGGGCGUAAAGCGCACGUAGGCGGAUGUGUCAGUCAGGGGUGAAAUCCCGGGGCUCAACCUCGGAACUGCCUUUGAUACAGCACGUCUUGAGUCCGAUAGAGGUGGGUGGAAUUCCUAGUGUAGAGGUGAAAUUCGUAGAUAUUAGGAAGAACACCGGUGGCGAAGGCGGCCCACUGGAUCGGUACUGACGCUGAGGUGCGAAAGCGUGGGGAGCAAACAGGAUUGAGAAACCC
rnacentral:rRNA from 1 species